rnacentral:tRNA from 1 species
UCCCUACUGGCUGUUAGUAAGGAAUCUGCCUACAAUGCAGGAGACCCAGGUUCAAUCCCUGGGUCAGGAA